rnacentral:sRNA from 1 species
UUCUCCGACCCGGGAGUGGGCCGAGAUUGCAGCGCUGGCGCCCUGGGUUCCCGGGUGCUUCCUGCCUGACCAGUCCCCAUGUCUGGGCGGUGCAGUCGCGCGUGGCCCGCCAGCACGUCAGUAUGUCGGGUGGCAACGGGGGACCACCACUGACAGGUCUCUCCCGCCCUGUCCCCGCAGCGCUGGCGGGAGGAGCUCUCCCACAUGAAGCGACUUCCCCCAGUGCUUCCCGGCCGCCCCUAUGACCUGGCGGCGGCGACCGUGGCCACAGACCUGGAGAGCGGCGGAGCCGGUGCGGCUUGCGGCGGUAGCAACCUGGCGCCCCUACCUCGGAGAGAGACCGAGGAGUUCAACGAUCUCCUGGACCUGGACUUUAUCCUCUCCAAUUCGCUGACCCAUCCUCCGGAGUCAGUGGCCGCCACCGUGUCCUCGUCAGCGUCAGCCUCCUCUUCGUCGUCGCCGUCGAGCAGCGGCCCUGCCAGCGCGCCCUCCACCUGCAGCUUCACCUAUCCGAUCCGGGCCGGGAACGACCCGGGCGUGGCGCCGGGCGGCACGGGCGGAGGCCUCCUCUAUGGCAGGGAGUCCGCUCCCCCUCCGACGGCUCCCUUCAACCUGGCGGACAUCAACGACGUGAGCCCCUCGGGCGGCUUCGUGGCCGAGCUCCUGCGGCCAGAAUUGGACCCGGUGUACAUUCCGCCGCAGCAGCCGCAGCCGCCAGGUGGCGGGCUGAUGGGCAAGUUCGUGCUGAAGGCGUCGCUGAGCGCCCCUGGCAGCGAGUACGGCAGCCCAUCGGUCAUCAGCGUCAGCAAAGGCAGCCCUGACGGCAGCCACCCGGUGGUGGUGGCGCCCUACAACGGCGGGCCGCCGCGCACGUGCCCCAAGAUCAAGCAGGAGGCGGUCUCUUCGUGCACCCACUUGGGCGCUGGACCCCCUCUCAGCAAUGGCCACCGGCCGGCUGCACACGACUUCCCCCUGGGGCGGCAGCUCCCCAGCAGGACUACCCCGACCCUGGGUCUUGAGGAAGUGCUGAGCAGCAGGGACUGUCACCCUGCCCUGCCGCUUCCUCCCGGCUUCCAUCCCCACCCGGGGCCCAAUUACCCAUCCUUCCUGCCCGAUCAGAUGCAGCCGCAAGUCCCGCCGCUCCAUUACCAAGAGCUCAUGCCACCCGGUUCCUGCAUGCCGGAGGAGCCCAAGCCAAAGAGGGGAAGACGAUCGUGGCCCCGGAAAAGGACCGCCACCCACACUUGUGAUUACGCGGGCUGCGGCAAAACCUACACAAAGAGUUCCCAUCUCAAGGCACACCUGCGAACCCACACAGGUGAGAAACCUUACCACUGUGACUGGGACGGCUGUGGAUGGAAAUUCGCCCGCUCAGAUGAACUGACCAGGCACUACCGUAAACACACUGGGCACCGCCCGUUCCAGUGCCAAAAAUGCGACCGAGCAUUUUCCAGGUCGGACCACCUCGCCUUACACAUGAAGAGGCAUUUUUAAAUCCCAGACAGUGGAUAUGACCCACACUGCCAGAAGAGAAUUCAGUAUUUUUUACUUUUCACACUGUCUUCCCGAUGAGGGAAGGAGCCCAGCCAGAAAGCACUACAAUCAUGGUCAAGUUCCCAACUGAGUCAUCUUGUGAGUGGAUAAUCAGGAAAAAUGAGGAAUCCAAAAGACAAAAAUCAAAGAACAGAUGGGGUCUGUGACUGGAUCUUCUAUCAUUCCAAUUCUAAAUCCGACUUGAAUAUUCCUGGACUUACAAAAUGCCAAGGGGGUGACUGGAAGUUGUGGAUAUCAGGGUAUAAAUUAUAUCCGUGAGUUGGGGGAGGGAAGACCAGAAUUCCCUUGAAUUGUGUAUUGAUGCAAUAUAAGCAUAAAAGAUCACCUUGUAUUCUCUUUACCUUCUAAAAGCCAUUAUUAUGAUGUUAGAAGAAGAGGAAGAAAUUCAGGUACAGAAAACAUGUUUAAAUAGCCUAAAUGAUGGUGCUUGGUGAGUCUUGGUUCUAAAGGUACCAAACAAGGAAGCCAAAGUUUUCAAACUGCUGCAUACUUUGACAAGGAAAAUCUAUAUUUGUCUUCCGAUCAACAUUUAUGACCUAAGUCAGGUAAUAUACCUGGUUUACUUCUUUAGCAUUUUUAUGCAGACAGUCUGUUAUGCACUGUGGUUUCAGAUGUGCAAUAAUUUGUACAAUGGUUUAUUCCCAAGUAUGCCUUAAGCAGAACAAAUGUGUUUUUCUAUAUAGUUCCUUGCCUUAAUAAAUAUGUAAUAUAAAUUUAAGCAAACGUCUAUUUUGUAUAUUUGUAAACUACAAAGUAAAAUGAACAUUUUGUGGAGUUUGUAUUUUGCAUACUCAAGGUGAGAAUUAAGUUUUAAAUAAACCUAUAAUAUUUUAUCUGAA